rnacentral:rRNA from 1 species
UACAGAGGGUGCUAGCGUUGUUCGGAAUCACUGGGCGUAAAGCGCACGUAGGCGGAUUGCUAAGUCAGGGGUGAAAUCCUGGAGCUCAACUCCAGAACUGCCUUUGAUACUGGCGAUCUCGAGUCCGGGAGAGGUGAGUGGAACUGCGAGUGUAGAGGUGAAAUUCGUAGAUAUUCGCAAGAACACCAGUGGCGAAGGCGGCUCACUGGCCCGGUACUGACGCUGAGGUGCGAAAGCGUGGGGAGCAAACAGG